rnacentral:rRNA from 1 species
UACGUAGGUGGCAAGCGUUGUCCGGAAUUAUUGGGCGUAAAGUGCGCGCAGGCGGUCCUUUAAGUCUGAUGUGAAAGCCCACGGCUCAACCGUGGAGGGUCAUUGGAAACUGGGGGACUUGAGUGCAGGAGAGAAAAGUGGAAUUCCACGUGUAGCGGUGAAAUGCGUAGAGAUGUGGAGGAACACCAGUGGCGAAGGCGACUUUUUGGCCUGUAACUGACGCUGAGGCGCGAAAGCGUGGGGAGCAAACAGG